GGAGGCAGAGAGAGUUAGAGACAGGGAGGGAGAGAGAGAGACGGAGAGAGAGGGAGGUAGAAAGAGUAAGAGAUAGAGAGGUAGGUAGAGAGAGAGAGAGGUAAGGAGAGAGAGAGACAGAGAGAGAGAGGUAAGGAGAGAGAGAGGGAGAGACAGAGAGAGGUAAUUCAUUGAUUUAUGUUACGUAUUGAUUGAUUCUACUAUCCUGAUUCAGAUUGAUGUGUAAAUAAUUUGAUGUCUCAGUGUUUUCACCAUGAAAAAGGUCAGAUUGAGGUCAGAUGCUGAUGAAUGAAAAAGUGUGAAUAGUGUUAACAGUGAUGAGAAAAGUGAGAAAACUGAGGUAAAGCUAUUGGGUUUGUUUGUUUGUUUUGCUGAAGGGAACCAGUUCUAGUGUGUCAGCAAUCAGGACAAACUGUAAAACACAGAGGAGAGAGAGGG
ensembl:lncRNA